AUUGAACGCUGGCGGCAGGCCUAACACAUGCAAGUCGAACGAGUGGCGGACGGGUGAGUAAUGUCUGGGAAACUGCCCGAUGGAUGGGGAUAACUACUGGAAACGGUAGCUAAUACCGCAUACCCUCGGAUGUGCCCAGAUGGGGUUAGCUAGUAGGUGGGGUAACGGCUCACCUAGGCGACGAUCCCUAGCUGGUCUGAGAGGAUGACCGGCCACACUGGAACUGAGACACGGUCCAGACUCCUACGGGAGGCAGCAGUGGGGAAUAUUUCACAAUGGGCGAAAGCCUGAUACAGCCAUGCCGUGUGUAUGAAGAAGGCCUUCGGGUUGUAAAGUACUUUCAGCGAGGAGGCGUUACCCGCAGAAGAAGCACCGGCUAACUCCGUGCCAGCAGCCGCGGUAAUUC
rnacentral:rRNA from 1 species